rnacentral:tRNA from 1 species
GGCCCUGUCGUCUAGUCCGGUCCAGGACAUCAGGUUUUCAUCCUGAAAACACGGGUUCGAAUCCCGUCGGGGCUA